rnacentral:rRNA from 1 species
AGCAGUCGCCGCGGGAAUACAGAGGGUGCGAGCGUUAAUCGGAUUUACUGGGCGUAAAGCGUGCGUAGGCGGCUUCUUAAGUCGGAUGUGAAAUCCCCGAGCUUAACUUGGGAAUUGCAUUCGAUACUGGUUAGCUAGAGUGUGGGAGAGGAUGGUAGAAUUCCAGGUGUAGCGGUGAAAUGCGUAGAGAUCUGGAGGAAUACCGAUGGCGAAGGCAGCCAUCUGGCCUAACACUGACGCUGAGGUACGAAAGCAUGGGGAGCAAACAGGAUUAGAUACCCCAGUAGUCCCUGUCUCUUAUAC